GGGGCUGCAGCUCAGUGGCUGAGCACUCACCUUGCAUGUAUGAGGCCCUGGGUUCAAUCCUCAGCACCACA
rnacentral:tRNA from 1 species